AGCGAACGCUGGCGGCAGGCCUAACACAUGCAAGUCGAACGAACCUUUCGGGGUUAGUGGCGGACGGGUGAGUAACACGUGGGAACGUGCCUUUAGGUUCGGAAUAACUCAGGGAAACUUGUGCUAAUACCGAAUGUGCCCUUCGGGGGAAAGAUUUAUCGCCUUUAGAGCGGCCCGCGUCUGAUUAGCUAGUUGGUUGAGGUAAUGGCUCACCAAGGCGACGAUCAGUAGCUGGUCUGAGAGGAUGAUCAGCCACAUUGGGACUGAGACACGGCCCAAACUCCUACGGGAGGCAGCAGUGGGGAAUCUUGCGCAAUGGGCGAAAGCCUGACGCAGCCAUGCCGCGUGAAUGAUGAAGGUCUUAGGAUUGUAAAAUUCUUUCACCGGGGACGAUAAUGACGGUACCAGCAGAAGAAGCCCCGGCUAACUCCGUG
rnacentral:rRNA from 1 species